AUAUAAGUUAUCGUUUAUUUGAUAGUACCUUACUACUUGGAUAACCGUGGUAAUUCUAGAGCUAAUACAUGCUAAAAAUCCCGACUUCGGAAGGGAUGUAUUUAUUAGAUUAAAAACCAAUGCCCUUCGGGGCUUACUGGUGAUUCAUGAUAACUUCACGAAUCGCAUGGCCUUGCGCCGGCGAUGGUUCAUUCAAAUUUCUUCCCUAUCAACUUUCGAUGUUUGGGUAUUGGCCAAACAUGGUUGCAACGGGUAACGGAGGGUUAGGGCUCGACCCCGGAGAAGGAGCCUGAGAAACGGCUACUACAUCCAAGGAAGGCAGCAGGCGCGCAAAUUACCCAAUCCCGACACGGGGAGGUAGUGACAAUAAAUACUGAUACAGGGCUCUUUAGGGUCUUGUAAUUGGAAUGAGUACAAUUUAAAUCCCUUAACGAGGAACAAUUGGAGGGCAAGUCUGGUGCCAGCAGCCGCGGUAAUUCCAGCUCCAAUAGCGUAUAUUAAAGUUGUUGUGGUUAAAAAGCUCGUAGUUGAACCUUGGG
rnacentral:rRNA from 1 species